GUUGAACGCUGGCGGCAGGCCUAACACAUGCAAGUCGAACGAGUGGCGGACGGGUGAGUAAUGUCUGGGAAACUGCCGGUAGGAGAGGGAUAACUACGGGAAACGGUAGCUAAUACCGCAUUCCAUCGGAUUUGGCCAGAUGGGGUUAGCUUGUAGGUGAGGUAACGGCUCACCUAGGCGACGAUCCCUAGCUGAUCUGAGAGGAUGAUCAGCCACACUGGGACUGAGACACGGUCCAGACUCCUACGGGAGGCAGCAGUGGGGAAUAUUGGACAAUGGGCGAAAGCCUGAUGCAGCCAUGCCGCGUGUAUGAAGAAGGCUUUCGGGGUGGAAAGUUCUUUCAGCGGGGAGGCGUUACCCGAAGAAGAAGCACCGGCUAACUCCGUGCCAGCAGCCGCGGUAAUAC
rnacentral:rRNA from 1 species